GGUGGACAUUCCUGCAGUCAGCACACCCUAUGACAUGUAACACGUUGUGGAGUUUAGCACAUUUUAGAUAGGCGUUUAUUGUGGCCAGUCUAAAGCUGUGGUUACACUAGCUAAAUUCUGUUGUGUGCUGCACAACACAUUCACAUGUGUAUGAACAAAAGUCUUUAGGGUGAAAAACUCAGCCAGACUGUCUGCAGCACACCUGUCCAAUAGUCAUGCUGUCUUAUCAGCAUCCUGAUGCCAAAGGAGAAGCACUUUAGCAACGAGACCAACAGCCUGUGACUUCAACAUUCACAUUGACAGACUUCCAGACUCUGCUUGCCUCUUUUGACUUCAAAAGAGUACCUACUUCUGCUACUCACAAAUAAGAUGCCUGUAAUCUCACUCUUGAUCCAAACACGGCACAUGAAAUGCUCUCAGUUGCAGAGGACAACAAAACAUUGGUGCAUAACUCAGAGCCGAUGAUUUAUCCUGAUCACCCAGACAGAUUUACUGGCCUCCCACAGAUUCUGUGUAAAGAGAGUCUGUCUGGACGCUGCUACAGGGAGGCUGAGUGGAAAGGACUGGGUGACAUGGUGGUGUCCUAUGGAGGAAUCGGAGAAAGGAGAAAGUCUUGAUUGUCGUUUCGGAGCCAAUGAUGGAGUCAGUGACUCUGUGUGAUCUGAACUCUUUCACAUGUACAAUCACACACAUGUGAUUAAAACGUUUAUAACUCAAACCUUUACCUGCUGAAAUUAAACUUUUUUUUUUAAGCUGAGGCUUGGAAAAGAUAUGCAGUGUUGGUCAUAAAUCACAAUUUAACAGUGUUUUCAAACAUAUAGUAUUUAUUUUAGGUUUCAGACACUCAAAUACACAUAACUACUAGCAAAAAGCAACAUUUAUGAUUUGUAAAAUACACGCUGGUGACUAUGGAGGUGGCAAUAAUAAUUAUUUUUAAAUAUAACUGCACAAUGUGCUUUAUUCAUAUUAGAGACACACUGUUUCAGGAGUUCACACUUAGCUGAUGAUCCAUCAAAAGCUUGUUUGGCACGCUAUCCCGGGAGAGAGCCCUGAGCUCAAGGGAUCCUUGAGCCCAGGGCUUCCUCCCGUUUGCAGAGCAAGAAGGGAGCUUGAGCUCACGUGUAUCUCAAAAACUCCCCGGCUGCAGUAGCUAAGGGAACACUUGAGAAGAAGGAAGCUAGACAAGUGCCUGAUUUGUUAAAUCUGUUAUGCAUUAUGUGUAUCUUUAAAUGGUGGGAGGAAACCGGAGAAUCCGGGGGAAACCCAAAUGGACAUGGGAAGAAUAUACAAACUCCUCACAGAAACACCCACCGGCCUGGUGGGGACCAGGGCGGGCAAUGUUCUUGCUCUGGGCUUAACAGUGCUAACCACUGGGCCACCAUGCCGCUCGAUCUUUGGUAAAAGGGGAGGAAGGGGAGUAUCUUCCAGAAGAAGAUAAGUGUAGACUGAAGACUGGUUAUUUAUAGUAACUUAGGAAUCAUAUGAUUGGGAGAUCAUGAUUAGCUAAUGUGAGACCGGCUGUGAUAAAUCAUAAGCACGCGAUCCCUUUCGAAAUUAGGGAUGGCUGACGUGAAACUGACAUUUCAACACAGUUUCGAGAUCCUGAAGCGCAAGUGUUUCGAAACACUGCACCGAAGCAUGAUCCGAAACACCCAGGUCACGUGACUAAAGUGAUUCAAAGCAUCGAUCAGUUAAGAAGCGUUUCGAGACCUGGCAAAUCUACAUGUUACUGCCGGAGUCUGAUUCUUUACUUGUCUCAUAUGGCCUAGUGGACUGUGCGUGUGCAUGCUGUUACUAUUUUUCCAAUGUCUUUUGGGUUCGAAUCCCGACUUGUACAAAUACUCCCAAAUCAUGGUUUUAUGUAUUUUAAUCAUAUUUCUGUUUUAUGGUGUAGCCUAAAUAGAUUACAGCUGCAGAUACGCCAUCAAUAUAGCAUCAUUUUUGUAACACUAAAACAAUAAUAAAUAUUUU